rnacentral:sRNA from 1 species
ACAUACCACUCGUACACUCCGGUUCCUCCGCGCCGUCCAUACCCGCCUGACGACUGCUUGCGACGUUCUGUUUAGCC